rnacentral:lncRNA from 1 species
UUUGAUUCAGUACGAGAUUUGUUUACAAUUUAUUCAGAUCUACUUUGGUUUAAAAUUAACAAAUGGUAUCAGAGGUACCUCUUAUUAAAUUUUGAUAUUGAGACUUUUGGUUUCCGAAUUUGGAUAUAUAUGUUUUUUGUUUUGAUUUUUCGUAUAAAUUUUUGAAGCAAAAUUAUGAAUUUUUGAAACUAGAAUUAAAUUUAAAACAAUUUUUUUUUCUGGAUUUUGGUUUUUAGCUGCUUUUUCGCGCGACAUCACGAUCGGAAGGUCGUUUGGCCUCCCAGUCGAUCAAUUUUUUUGGCGAACUAGCAAGCUACAGUUGUUGUCGUAGCAAAAGAAAAAGGAAACGCGACCAUGGUUGCUGCACAAAGAAAGAGGAAGAAAAGUCGCAUCACGAAGCCGCAGUAACAGGACCAAAGUGGUCCUCCGACAGCACAAGCGAGACUGCAGCAGUUUUCUGGCUGCGGCACAAAACACAGUGUCGAGCGAGGAGGUGGCGACCGAAACCCCUCCCCCCUCCCCGUGCAAGGAAGAUGAAAAAGAAAGAAAAAAAAAGAAAGAAAAGGGAUUUCUGCUUAUUCGGGUUGCGGGGCAAGGGCCCAACAGUUUUUUUGGGUUUGGGCUUUGGGCUCAAACCCGAGGCUGAAGGAAAAAAAUGGAAGGGAAAUAAGGAAGAAAGAAAAAGGAGGGAAAAAGAGGCCUGCAUGCGCAUGGGCCCAAAGCCCAACACGUUCGAGUUGGGCCCAACCCGGUCCAGAGCUGACCUGGUCCAAACCUGACCUGGUCCAGACCUGACCAGUCAAGAUCCGACCCAGUCAAAGGUUGACUUUUAUCGAUCAAUAGUUAAAGGUUGACUUUGACCAAUCAAUGGUUUGGAAAAAAGAAUAAUAGAAUUCAGG